UGGCGUACGGGUGAGUAACACGUGGAUAAUCUACCUCUUAGUGGGGAAUAACUUUGGGAAACCGAAGCUAAUACCGCAUAAGCCUGGAAAGGGAAAGCAGCAAUGCGCUGAGAGAGGAGUCCGCGGCCGAUUAGCUAGUUGGCAGGGUAACAGCCUACCAAGGCAUUGAUCGGUAGCCGGCCUGAGAGGGCACACGGCCACACUGGCACUGAAACACGGGCCAG
rnacentral:rRNA from 1 species